rnacentral:rRNA from 1 species
CGGGGUGCUGCAGCAGUGAGGAAUAUUGCACAAUGGGGGGAACCCUGAUGCGGCAACGCCGCGUGGAGGAUGACGCAUUUCGGUGUGUAAACUCCUUUUAUAUGUCAAGAAAAUGACGGUAGCAUAUGAAUAAGCGCCGGCUAACUCCGUGCCAGCAGCCGCGGUAAUACGGAGGGCGCAAGCGUUACUCGGAAUCACUGGGCGUAAAGGACGCGUAGGCGGGUUGAAAAGUCAGGUGUGAAAGCCUACAGCUUAACUGUAGAACUGCACUUGAAACUCUCAACCUAGAGUAUGGGAGGGGCAGAUGGAAUUAGUGGUGUAGGGGUAAAAUCCGUAGAUAUCACUAGGAAUACCUAAAGCGAAGGCGAUCUGCUGGAACAUUACUGACGCUAAGGCGUGAAAGCGUGGGGAGCAAACAGGAUUAGAUACCCUGGUAGUC